rnacentral:rRNA from 1 species
AACGACUCUCGGCAACGGAUAUCUCGGCUCUCGCAUCGAUGAAGAACGUAGCGAAAUGCGAUACUUGGUGUGAAUUGCAGAAUCCCGUGAACCAUCGAGUCUUUGAACGCAAGUUGCGCCCGAAGCCAUUAGGCCAGGGCACGUCUGGCUGGGUGUCACACAAAG